rnacentral:piRNA from 1 species
UGGGAGUGCGUACCAUCCUAGUUGGCUUCU